GCAUGAAUGGUGUAGCGGUAACAUUCAACCCUUCCAUUGCAGAUGCGAGGUUGAGCUCGGGGUUCGACUCCCCGUUCAUGCA
rnacentral:tRNA from 1 species